rnacentral:rRNA from 1 species
CUACGGGAGGCAGCAGUGGGGAAUAUUGGACAAUGGGCGAAAGCCUGAUCCAGCAAUGCCGCGUGAGUGAUGAAGGCCUUAGGGUUGUAAAGCUCUUUUACCAGGGAUGAUAAUGACAGUACCUGGAGAAUAAGCUCCGGCUAACUCCGUGCCAGCAGCCGCGGUAAUACGGAGGGAGCUAGCGUUGUUCGGAAUUACUGGGCGUAAAGCGCACGUAGGCGGCUUUUCAAGUCAGGGGUGAAAUCCCGGGGCUCAACCCCGGAACUGCCCUUGAAACUGGAUGGCUAGAAUACUGGAGAGGUGAGUGGAAUUCCGAGUGUAGAGGUGAAAUUCGUAGAUAUUCGGAAGAACACCAGUGGCGAAGGCGACUCACUGGACAGUUAUUGACGCUGAGGUGCGAAAGCGUGGGGAGCAAA